GCCUGCCUAGAACUCCUCGAAGUCGUCGAAGAACUCCCUGUCGUCACAAGCUUCUGAACAGCGUUUGGGCAAGGGUGAGUACACUUAUGGUUGGUACUCAGCAGGUGGGGGAAACAUGCAAGGCUCACAAGGAAUGGUUCAAGGCUUUAAGCGGUUAGCAUUUUAAUUAGUCAAAUUUUUAUUAGCAGCACCUAAUUACUAGAUGUAAGUUUAUACCAACCCACUUAAGCAUAUAACACUAACAUAUCCCAAAAGUAAAGGUAACAUAGAUUAAUCUCAUCUUUAAGUUCAAUUAUCAUGUGAGGGUCCAAGCCGCUCCUAACCGUGAGCACGGCUGAUAUAUCAGUUUUCACUCUGUAGAGGUUGUACACUUUACCCACAACUCGUGGUCCCCC
rnacentral:lncRNA from 1 species